GAUUUCUCUUCAUUUUUCUGAAUUCUCAUCAGCUAAAACACCAUGGAAGGGCUUCUUCAAGCUGGUUCUUCAUAUUUUUAUUACAAGUAAGUUCAAUUCUUGAUUAUUUCUUGAAAUUUUUGUAUUUUUAUGACUUUUACAACUAGGCCCACUUGUUAAAUUCAUUAGUUUUUGAUUUUAUGAAAGAAGUUGAAAGUUGAUAUGAAUAUGUGCUGGAAGUAUAUGAUGAUUUAGCAUGAAAUUAGAGCUUUAAAUUGUCAUAUGCUGAUUUUAUUGAAAGAAUUGAAUAGAAAGUGAAUGUUUGGGACCUAAUAGUAAAAGAGUUUGAAGAUAGAGUUAUAUGUGGAAAUUCUGAAUUUCAAUAGUUGUGUAACAACUUAUAAUGUCUAGUAAAGUAUUAAUUGAGAAAAUUAGAUUAAUUGAGGGGUUAAUUGAGAAAGGACCGAAUUGUAUAAACUGUGAAAUUUGGGGCAAAAUGGAAAUCAACAUUUUGCAUUAAAGCAGUUUUGGACAGUAGCAGUAGUAUAACUUUGAAAAAUCACAAAAAAUUGUAGAGAUUGAAUUAGAGGAUGAAUAAAAUAUGAAAUUAAAGCUUAUUGAGUCUAGUUUCUUAUAAAAGAAACGGUGUGAGCAAUGGAAUUGUAAAUCAUAAGAUAUAAUAGAUUUUGUGAGACAAGGUCAGAAUGAAUUCGGGUUCCCCUGUUCUGACUUUGGAAAAUCAUUAAAAAUUGUAGAAAAAUGAUUAUGAGUUAUAAUUUAUAUGGUUAGAAUCCUUAUUGAGUUUAUUUUUAUAAGAAACAAAUAGAAAUAUCAUCCAAAUUCUGUACAAUUAGAUAAUUAAUUUUUAGUGAAGAGUGGUCGGAACUGUCAGACAGCAAAAUAGGGGAAACUUUAAAGAAUAAACUGUACUAUUUGGCUGAAUCAAAAAUUCUGAAAAUUUUAUGGUAAGAAGGUAUGUGAGUCUAGUUUCGGGGAAAAUUAACGGAUCUUAAUUUGGAGCUCUGUAGCUCCGGAUAAAAAUAAUUUAGUGACUCUGACUCGGAUAAACAGUUUUGAAUAUACAUGUGAGUGAAUAGUGAAAUUAUAGCUAAUGUUGUUUAAGUGUGUUAUACACAUUAAGGAUGUGGAAUGGAGAGGAGGAGGAGGAAACUUGGGAAGUAUAUGAAUGAUUUGUGUACAAUUGGUCAUAUGCUUGAUUAUAAUUGAUAAACGAUGAAAUGGAAAUAAUGCUUAUAUUUGUGCAUUAUUGGUUAUGGUUUAAGCUCAUGUGUGAAAAUAAAGUUUCAUAGUAUGUGUGUAUCGUAUAUUCGGUAUAUGAUUUGGCAUGAAAUAAUUUCAUGAAUGGUUUAUCAUGUGGUUAGUUCCAAAAAGAGUUAUGUUUAAAUAUACUAGCUUGUGACUAUGGUUGAAUGAUAUGUUUAUAUCUUGUGUGAUGUGCAUAGGAAACAAGGGUGGUAAGAUAAUGAAAUAGUAAGUUCAUAUGGCCGAAAUUUAAUGAUUAAAUGUUAAUUUCAUGAGUUAUGUAAUGUAUGAUGAGAUAUAUUUAUUGAUGAAAUGAGAAUAAAAUAAAAAUGCGAAAACUGAAUAAAUGAUCAAAUUGAGCGGAACGCCGGAUUUGAGUACUUCUGAUCAAGUGACAAAGUGAUAAGUGAUAGCUUCGGCUACACUUAUCUGAUCAAGUGAUAAGUGGAAAGUGAUAAGUGAUAGCUUCAGCUAUACUUANNNNNNNNNNNNNNNNNNNNNNNNNNNNNNNNNNNNNNNNNNNNNNNNNNNNNNNNNNNNNNNNNNNNNNNNNNNNNNNNNNNNNNNNNNNNNNNNNNNNACUUAUCUGAUUAAGUGACAAGUGGAAAGUGAUAAGUGAUAGAUAGUUUCGGCUACACUUAUCUGAUCAAGUGAUAAGUGGAAAGUGAUAAGUGAUAGCUUCGGCUAUACUUAUCUGAUCAAGAGACAAAGUGAUAAGUGAUAGUUUCGGCUACACUUAUCUGAUCAAGUGACAAGUGAAAAGUGAUAAGUGAUAGCUUUAGCUACACUUAUCUGAUCAAGAGACAAAGUGAUAAGUGGCUACACUUAUCUGAUCAAGAAACAAAGUGAUAAGUGGCUACACUUAUCUGAUCAGGGACAAGUGAUAAGUGAUCAUAUGUAAGACCAUAGUUAUACUAUGGCAAAGUGAAAGUGAAGUACUCAAUUUUCCGUAACCGUUCCCUAAUUUGAUUAAGGAUGGUAAGUGACAAAUGGGUCCAAAAGAAUUAAAGUAAAUGGAUAAGUGGUAGUGUAUUUAUAUCAGGACGAUGUUGUUAUUCAAGCUAAAGUGAUAUUUUCAUUGCAAAAUUGAGAAUUUCAUAAAUGUGUUAUUGAAUGAUAUAAUCAAUAAACAUUGAGUUAAAUGGUAAAUACGUAUUAGUGUUGAACAUUAUGUCAUUGAAUUGUACGUGAAUUAAAUGGAAAUUGCUAGUGAUAUGAUUUAAAUUGUGAGCAUGAGAAAUUGCGAAUUGAAUGAAAUGGAAAUGAAGCAUUGAAUUGCAUGAGUAUGUAUCGGGUCUCAUAGGCCCUAAUUAUUAUGAUUAUAAGAUUUCGAUGAUAUAUUGUGAAAAGUUAUAGAAGCAUGUUAAUUAUUUUGAAAGUUUUAAUUUAGAUGAAAUUUUAUAACUCGGUUAAAUACACUUACAAGUGUAUGUGUUUUGGUGAUACCUCGUACCCUAUUCCGGUGUUGGAUACGGGUAAGGGGUGUUACAUUGUAUGUAUGUGUUUGUAUUAUUGUCAUGUAUAUGAAAGUAUUCACAUAUCUGACAAUGAUCGAUAAUGAUAAAAUCUCGUUUAAAUAUAUGAAAUUCGAUUGGAUACAGGGUUCUCGAAUUGGUAGUGGUCUUGCAUAUGUUGUGGACACACCAUAGCUCGAAAAAGCGUCCCGAUAUGUAACACCCCUUACCCGUAUCCAACGCCAGAACAGGGUAUGAGGCAUUACCAGAACACUUACACAUGUAAACCUAUUAAACCGAGUUACAAAAUUUCAUUCAAAUUUAAAACUUUCAAAAUUAUUAACAUGCUUUUAUAACUCUUCACAUUAUAUAUAUAUAAUGCAACAUUUUCUGCUAACCACACUAUCAAAUAAUGGAUUUACUCAAUCGAGCUCAAUAUCAGAUGUCAACUUAUAAUCCAACAUUUAACUUCAAUUGCACUUUCAGAUACUUUUUAAAUUAAGGAUCGUAUUACGGACUUGAGUACAUCGUCUGCCCGGUGUCACAAUUUGCUUGAAUUUUUUUUUUCACAAUGCUAUAACUUAGUAUGGUGUUCUUUAUUGAAACACCAUACUUACUUUUCACAUUUUGCCAUGGAUCCACCAUGGACUUAUCCGUCAAUUCAUCACUGAUUGCCGUACAUAUGUACUCAAUCCUGCGUGUCCAUUAAUUUGAACAAACAAUCUCAUUUUAUUCUUAUUUUUACCAUAAUUAUAAUUCAACAACAUUAUACUAAUUGAUACAUUAUACCAUUCCCACAUUAACGAUUAAUCAUAAAAGUUCAGCCAUAUGAACUUACUUUUCAUUAACUUUCCACACUUAUUUUCUAUGAACAUCACACAAGAUAUAAACAAAUCAUUCAACCAUAGUCGCGAGCUAGUGUAUUUAAACAUAACUCUUUUUGGGGCUAAUCACAUAACAAACCAUAUCAAUGCAUAACUUAUAAAUUUAACGUGGCAUGGUCUAUGUAACUACUUGGCCAAAGCCUAAGCAUGUAUACCAAAUAUGUUCACCAAAUAUACAUAUAACAUAAGCAUUAUAAGUAGGGAUAAGCACAACAUUUAUUCAUGUAUCGGGCUUACCAACAUGUUUUAAUUCAUAAACCACUCAUGGUCUUACUCCCUGCCAAAUCAUGUACCGAAUAAUUUAGCUUUCUUAACACAUUUAUUUGCUUUUACUAUUGCUCACAUAAGAUUUAUAGAGCAUAGAGCCUUGUAUAUAACACCGGCAUAAAGCCUGCUAGGCACCAAGCCCGAUACAUUUCACCGGCACAAAGCCUGCUAGACAUAAAGUCUGAUAUAAUUCACCGGCACAAAGCCUGCUAGGCAUAAAGCCUGAUAUAAUUCACCGGCACAAAGCCUGCUAGGCAUAAAGCCUGAACUUACAAAAUCAGUCUUUCACAUAAUUCACAUCUAAUUUAAAUCAUUCUCGAAAUAUAAUCAAAUCACAAUAUUACAUUCGGCACUAGCUUAUAUAACUUCAAAUAAUUAAUUUCAUACAUUUUAUUGUCCUCCUCCUCCUCUCCAUUCCACAUCCUUUACGUAUAAAACAUGCUUAAAUAGUAUUAUACAUAAUUUCACUAUUCACUUAUAUUAAAAUUUAAAGCUCUCUAUUUGAGUCAGAGUCACUAAAUCAUAUUCAUCCGGAGCUACAGAGCUCCAAAUUAAGAUCUAUAAAUUUUCUCAUAUGAUUUCACUGUAAUAUAAAUUUAAUCACACAUAAAUUUUAAGGUUUGCUUAAUUUCCAGCAAGCUGUCUUUCUGCGUCAUAGACGCUAAUUUAUUUUUAUCUGGAGCUACAGGGCUCCAAAUUAAGUUCCGUAAAUUUUCCCUGAAACUAGACUCAUAUAACUUCUUACCAUAAAAUUUCCAGAAUUUUUGGUUUAGCCAAUUAGUACAGUCUAUUCAUUCAAUUUACCCAUGUUUUGCUGUCCAACAGUUCUGACACUUCUUCACAACGAAUCAAUUUUCUCCUCAUACAAAAUUCAUAUGAUGUUCUCGUUUAUUUCACUUGAAAUAGACAUAUUAAGGAUUUAAAACAUAUAAAUUAUACUCCAUAAUAAUUUUUUUACAAUGUUUACUGAUUUUUCAAAGUUGGAACAGGGGAUUCUGAAACUCAUUCUGACCGUGUUUCACUAAAAUUCAAAUAUCUCAUAAUUCACACUUCUUUUGCUUACUCUGUUUCUUUUAUAGAAAAAUAGACUCAUUAAUCUUUAAUUUCAUAUCUCACCCAGACUUUAAUUCAAUUUCUACUAUUUUUGGUGAUUUUUCAAAGUUAUACUAGUGCUGCUGCCCACAACUGUUUUAAGGUCAGUUUCACUCAUUCAAUAAUUAUUUGUGUUCACUUUCAUUUAUAUACAUUUACACCAAAGCAUAUUAUAUCUUGGCACAUAACAAUCAAGUGAUCAUAGACACACCUUACUUGUAAUAUUAGGGAUGUUCGGGAUAUCUCGUACACCUGGUAGGACGCCAAUGCCAUAUCCCAGAUAUGGUCUUACAUGGGAUCACAUAUCGGUGCCAAUGCCGUAAUGAAGUUGCACAAUUAGUGCUAACCAAAUUACACUCGGUAUCGCACACUUAGUGCCCGUUAUUCAACAUCAUUAUUAUAAUUCCGCACACUUAGUGCCUAUUAUUCAACAUCAUCAUUUUAAUUUUACACACUUAGUGCCAUUCAUAUAGCCGUAGCUAUUCCAUACUCGCACACUUAGUGCUAAAUAUUGAUAAAUCACAUUCAUGUCUAUUUCUACUUUCCGAACUAAAAUACAUUCAGCUAUAUAUAUAUUUAUCAUAUUUCCAUUUCAGCAUAUAUAACUAACAUUUAUUCAGAAAUUUUAAUAUCUAAUUGCUUAUAAACUUACUUCGGAUGUCGUCGACUAAUUGAUCGGCUACUCAACUACUUUCGAUUUUCCCCAAUCUAAAUCCCAUUUCUUGUUUUCUUGAUCUUAACAUAUUCAAAUAAAUCUCAUUUUAACAUAUUUUCAUUCAAUUUAGUCUAAUAAAGCAUAAAUGGGCAAAUUACAUUUUUACCCCUAAUAUUUCGCACUUUCACAAUUUAGUCCUUAUUCCACAAAACACAAAAUAUACAAAAUUUGGCCACACUCCUUAAGGGCCGAAUCUUCCUAGUACCCAUAUAAGUCCAUACAUUUCAUUUAUUUCACCUUUGAGUCCUUCAAAAAUUUAUUUUUGUAAUUUAGCCAUAAUUACUCAAAAUCACCAAAAACUUCAACACAAAACAUAUUAAUCUUUAACAUAUCUUUCAUUUUUCAUCAACAACUAUCAAAAAGCUCAAGCACUCAUCAAUGGCAAAGCACAAAAUCAUCAUCAAUUCACAAAAUUGAAACAUGGGUUUUAAAGAACACAAAGCAACGAUAUCAAAAACGUAAAAAUUAUCAAAAACCGAACAAAAGACUAACCUUAAUCUAACUCCCAAUGGCCGAACCUUAGCCAAGCUUUUCUCUUUUUUUCUCUCUCCAGUUUCGACAGUGGAGAAGAUGAUAUGAUAGUGGCUUCCUUUCUUUUUCUUUUUCUUUUUUUUUUAUCACAUAAUAAUAUAUUAUACCUUAUUAUAACAUAUAUAUUAUUUUAAUAAUAUAAGAAAACCAUAUACAUCACCUAAUGCCGUCCACUAACUUGGAAAAUGGCUUAAUUGCCACAUAGAACCUCCAAUUUAUAAAGACAAAAACAAUUAAGCACUUUUAUAUUUAACCCUCAAAUUUUCACUUUACGCAAUUUAGUCAUUUUCUCAAAUUAAGCAUACAACAGUAAAAUUAUUUCACGAAACUUUCACAUAUAUAAUUUCACACAUAUUUAACACAGAAAAUAAUAUUAAAAUAUUUUUAGACUCGGAUUCGUGGUCUCGAAACCACUUUGUCCGAUUAGGGUCAAAAUUGGGCUGUUACACGAUAUUAGCCCUCUUAAGCUUCCCGUUAUAUGGUUUUUGUGAGCUUCUCGUUAAUAGCUCUUCGGAGCAUCCCGGUCGGUUGUGAUCCUGUAUGUAUUGUGGGCACACUACAGCUCUUAUGAGCGUCCCUGUGGGCACACUACAGCUCUUAUGAGCGUCCCGUUAUAUGGCUUUCCAUGAGCUUCCUGAUUAAAGGCUCUUUGUGAGCUUUCUGAUUAAUGGCUUUCUAGAGCUUCCCGAUAUGGCUCGCUUGAAUUUCCCGAUCUAUGGCUAUCUGGAGCUUCCCGUUAUUGGCUUGCAUGAGCUUCCUUAUCAUGGCUCUUAUGAGCUUUCUGUUAUACAGCCCGGAUAAACUUCUCGUUAAUGGCUCACAUGAGCUUCCUAUUAUAUGGCUCGAGAGAGGGUUUCCCGAUUAUGUGCUCAAAUGAGCAUCCCCGAAUAUGAAUUGGCAGAAUUUAGAUUCGUACACUUUAUGUGAACUACCCUUGUAUCCAACGAUAUUUUAAAUGAUUCAAUGGGUAAAGUUCCAAUAUGAGAUGAUAUGAAUUCAAGAUGAAUUACUAUGAGAAAUACUUGAAAUACAAAGAUAUGAUAUGUACAUGUUCAUGGAUACUUGAAAUGAAAAAUAUAUGUAUGUGGAAAUUGAAUAUUGAUGAGUUCAUACAUGUUUCUUAAUAUUCAUGUGAAUUACAUGACUAACAUGUUUGAUGAAGAUGUUUGUAUAGGUUAUUGGCCAAAUUGCUUUAGAUGUAUUUUGUAUGCUUAACUUAAAUGUAAAUGAAUAGUAAGCUAAUUUCCUGUUAUACGAACUUACUAAACUUUAAAGCUUACUUUGUUUAUUUUCUCUAUUUUAUAGUAUUCAGAAGUUUGUAAAGGUUGGAAGCUAAUCAGAGCAACAUCACGCUAUCCUUCAACUCACUUCGGUAUAAAUAGCAAAAUUUCUUCCGGGUAUAAUGGCAUGUAUAGGCUAAGUUUGGUCAAAUGAUGGCAUAUAUAUGUGUUGUUUGAAUUUAACCAUUGGAAUGACUUGUGAUGAAUAUGUUUUGAUGUGUAAAUAUAUAAGGCUUUAUCAUGUUUGGUGUGAGAUUGAUAUGAUUGAUUUGAUAGUAAUCUUAUAAGUACUAUUUAUAUGCAUUUUUGAUCAAAUAGGUAAGUUUGAAUAUAUGGAUUUAUGAAGUGAUAUAUCAUGUAUAAGAUUUGAUUUUUGGUUGGUUUUGGAUGUCUUGGAUUGGCUUGUGAAUAUGUUAAAGUGUUAAUGUAAGUGCAAUGCAAG
rnacentral:lncRNA from 1 species